UAAAGGGAAGGCGUAGGGAAACCAAGUCUGAAUAGGGCGAAAAUAAGGUAAUUGGGUCAGACCCGAAACCAAGUGAUCUAACCAUGAGCAGGGUGAACCUUCCUUAAUUGGAAGUGGGAGGCCCGCACCCGUCUGGGUUGCAAUCCGGUGGGAUGACUUGUGGUUAGUGGCAAAAUACCAAUCGAACCUGGAGAUAGCUGGUUCUCCCCGAAAGGUCUAUAGGGACCGUGGCUAUUAAAACUUUAGAAGAGGUAGAGCACCGAAUGGGUGUGAGAGCGCAAGCGAUUACAUUCAACCGAACUCCGAAUUAUUCUAAAGUAAAAGUAGCUAGACAGUCGCAUCGGGCUAAGCUGAUGCGGCGAAAGGGAAACAUCCCAGAUUCUCGUCUAAGGCCUCUAAAUCUAUAUUAAGUUUGAAAGGAAGUUCUUUCUCUCAGACAGCCAGGAGGUUGGCUCAGAAGCAGCCACCCUUUAAAGAUAGCGUAACAGCUCACUGGUCGAUGAGAGGGGGCGCCUAAGAUUUAUCGAGGAUAAGUUACGUGCCGAAGCUAGAGAUUUUACAUCCAAUUUAUUGGGUGUGGAGUGGUAGGGGAGCGUUCCAACCGCAGUGAAGGUGAACCGGAAGGUUUGCUGGAGCGGUUGGGAGUGAGAAUGUCGGCUUGAGUAGCGCACAAGAAAGGUGAGAAUCCUUUCCGUUGAAUGUCCAAGGUUUCCACUGCAAGAUUCGUUCUCAGUGGGUUAAUCGGUACCUAAGGCGAGGCCAAAUGGCGUAGUCGAUGGAUAAUUGGUCAAAAUUCCAAUAUUUAUACUAAAUCGUUAUUAACUAGGGAUUGACUGAACAGGAGUUUGGGAGCUCUUUAUUGAAUUAGAGUGCAGAAGCUGAAGCAGUUCUGGCUGGAAAAUCCGUCAGAAUGUUUAACUAAAGUGGUGCAAAGUUCUCCGCGAGGAGGGCGAUUCCAAAAUUUUCAGUUUACGAGAAAAGAUUCGUAGUGAGAGUUAGUAUAAGCCGUACCGCAAACCGACACAGGUGGACUGGGGGAGUACCCUAAAACGAUCGAGAGACAAAUCCUCAAGGAACUCGGCAAAAAAACUACCCGUAACUUAGGAAGAUGGGUUGCCUUGGUUAAAAACAAGGCUGCAACUAAAGUUUAUUGGUCGACUGUUUAUCAAAAACACAGGCCCGUGCAAAGGCGAAAGCUGAAGUAUACGGGCUGACGCUUGUCCAGUGCCGGUAAGUUAAGAGGAGAGGUGCUAGCCGCAAGGUUAAUGCUUCGAAUUUAAGCUCCGGUGAACGGCAGCAGUAACUAUAACUGUUCUAAGGUAGCGAAGUUCCUUGCCAGGUAAGUUCUGGCCCGCAUGAAUAGCGUAACGAGCUAAUAACUGUCUUGAGGGUUUACUCGGCGAAAUAGCGAUGGCUGUGAAGACGCGGCCUACUUCUACAUGGACAAAAAGACCCCGUGGAGCUUUACUGUAGGUAGAUAUUGCUUUCAUAUUUUUUGAUUGUCUAGUAUAGGUGGGAGCCGCAAGGCAAAAAUGUAAUACCACUCGUCGGAGAAUGUGAGGCUUACUUAAUUCCGAUUAAGACUCGGAAAAGGAAAGUGUUUGCUGGGCAGUUUUACUGGGGCGGUACCCUGCUAAAUUGUAACGCAGGGACACAAAGGUUGGCUUUCUACCGAUGGAAACGGUAGUUUGAAGCGCAAAGGUUUAAGCCAGCUUGACUGUGAGGGAGAUGUCCCGAACAGGUACGAAAGUAGGUCUUAGUGAUCCUCCGAAGCACAAUGGGUGUGCUCGGAGCUUAAUGGAUAAAAGCUACCCCGGGGAUAACAGAGUAGUCGCGCCCGAGCGUCCAUAGCGACGGCGCGGUUCGCUACCUCGAUGUCGGCUCAACACAUCCUGGCGCUGGAGAAGGUGCCAAGGGUCAGUCUGUUCGCCGAUUAAAGUGGUACGCGAGCUGGGUUCAGAACGUCGUGAGACAGU
rnacentral:rRNA from 1 species